rnacentral:rRNA from 1 species
CAACUUUCAGCAACGGAUCUCUUGGCUCUCGCAUCGAUGAAGCAGCGAAAUGCGAUAAGUAAUGUGAAUUGCAGAAUUCAGUGAAUCAUCGAAUCUUUGAACGCACCUUGCGCCCUCUGGUAUUCCGGAGGGCAUGCCUGUUUGAGUGUCAUUA